rnacentral:rRNA from 1 species
GAUGAACGCUAGCGGCAGGCUUAACACAUGCAAGUCGAGGGGUAACAGGGGAAAGCUUGCUUUUUUGCUGACGACCGGCGCACGGGUGAGUAACGCGUAUAGAACCUACCUUUUACAGGGGAAUAGCCCAGAGAAAUUUGGAUUAAUACCCUAUAGUAUUAUUGAGUGGCAUCAUUUAAUAAUUAAACAUUUAUGGGUAAAAGAUGGCUAUGCGUUCUAUUAGCUAGAUGGUAAGGUAACGGCUUACCAUGGCAACGAUAGAUAGGGGUCCUGAGAGGGAGAUCCCCCACACUGGUACUGAGACACGGACCAGACUCCUACGGGAGGCAGCAGUGAGGAAUAUUGGACAAUGGAGGCAACUCUGAUCCAGCCAUGCCGCGUGCAGGAAGACGGCCCUAUGGGUUGUAAACUGCUUUUAUACGGGAAGAAACCCAACUACGUGUAGUUGGCUGACGGUACCGUAAGAAUAAGCACCGGCUAACUCCGUGCCAGCAGCCGCGGUAAUACGGAGGGUGCAAGCGUUAUCCGGAAUCAUUGGGUUUAAAGGGUCCGUAGGCGGGCUAAUAAGUCAGGGGUGAAAUCCAACAGCUUAACUGUUGAACUGCCUUUGAUACUGUUAGUCUUGAAUUAUAUGGAAGUAGAUAGAAUGUGUAGUGUAGCGGUGAAAUGCUUAGAGAUUACACAGAAUACC